GCUCCCCUUGCUCUGUGGGGCUCCCAGGUGGGCCAUCAUAUCACCUUACUUUUCUUUGCUCUCCACAGGUCACGCCAAAUGCCUAGUCAACCCUAAUGAGAGAACCUAGAUACCUCACCUGCCGAUGCAGCAUUCACUUGCCAUUUUCUUUCUUCUUGGUGGGCGUUUCCGACCAUAGCUGUUUCUAGUUGGCCAUCUUGGCACCCCACCUCUUAAUACUGUCACAAUUACAAUAGAAUUUGAACAUGAGUCUUGAUACGAAUAUUCAAACCAUAACAUCCAGUCUACUGAAGAGGCCAUUAAAGAAUUUAAUUAUUGGUUGGGCGCAGUCACUGACCAUUUGGAAGACCAAGGCGGGAAGAUUACUUGAGGUCAGGAGUUCGAGGCCAGCCUGGCCAACAUGGUGAAACCCUGUCUCUACCAAAAAUACAACACUUAGCCAGGUGUGUUGGCACAUGCCUGUAGUCACAACUACUCGGGAGGCUGAGGCAGGAGAAUCGCUUGAACCCAGAAGGCGGAGGUUGCAGUGAGCAGAGAUGGUGCCACUGCACAACAGCCUUUUUAGACUCUGUCUCAAAAAAAGAAAAAAGAAAAAAGUUACUUAUCAUGAUAGUUCAAGAUGAUGCUUUGUCUUGGAUACUUUUACACAUGUAAAGUCAAAUGAGAGAAUUUAAGUUAUUUGGGGAAUUAUUUUAAAAGCCAUAUUGUUCCCCUUAUCAAAUACUCCUAAAACCUACUAAAACCUAAGUGCCACUUUCUUAGAUUUUCCAGAACACUCUAAGCAUUUAUAACAGUAGUUAGUACAACGUUCUGUAAAUAUUGGUUUAGGGGUUAGUCUCUUCAGUUUAGUAACAUUUCAUUAACCACCAUGAAUGGCAUAGUGUAUAUUUUUCAUUUGUAUUCCACAAAAAUUUGUAAAAUAAACA
rnacentral:lncRNA from 1 species